rnacentral:rRNA from 1 species
GACGAACGCUGGCGGCGUGCCUAAUACAUGCAAGUAGAACGCAGUUGCGAACGGGUGAGUAACGCGUAGGUAACUGCCUGGUAGAGGGGGAUAACUAUUGGAAAAGAUAGCUAAUACAGCAUCCUACCAGGUGGACCUGCGUUGUAUUAGCUAGGUGGUGGGGUAACGGCUAAACAAGGCAACGAUACAUAGCCGACCUGAGAGGGUGAUCGGCCACACCGGGACUGAGACACGGCCCAGACUCCUACGGGAGGCAGCAGUAGGGAAUCUUCGUCAAUGGACGGAAGUCUGACCGAGCAACGCCGCGUGAGUGAAGAAGGGUUUCGGAUCGGAAAGCUCUGUUGUAAGAGAAGCGGUAUCUUACCAGAAAGCGACAGCUAACUACGUGCCAGCAGCCGCGGUAAUUC